rnacentral:rRNA from 1 species
UACGUAGGGGGCAAGCGUUGUUCGGAUUUACUGGGCGUAAAGGGCGCGUAGGCGGCGUGGUAAGUCACUUGUGAAAUCUCUGAGCUUAACUCAGAACGGCCAAGUGAUACUGCUGUGCUAGAGUGCAGAAGGGGCAAUCGGAAUUCCUGGUGUAGCGGUGAAAUGCGUAGAUAUCAGGAGGAACACCGGUGGCGAAGGCGCUCAUCUGGCCCAAUACUGACGCUGAGGCGCGAAAGCUAGGGGAGCAAACGGG